GAGAAUCUGUGCGUCGUCUUUGAGCAUGCGCAGUGCAGUCAAACAGAAUAACCUGACAUCAGUCAUUUUACCCAAAAAUUCACGGCGAAACGUGAAGAAAAAUUAUUGUGCGACAAAAUCGAAGAAAAAAGCGCAAUUUUGUAAAUUUUGGGGGCUUCCGUUUCUAAGCAGUGCAUAUUUUGUGAGCGUUGGCUAGACGAAGUGCGCUUGCUGCGCAAAACGGGCACCAUCCCAUGGAGGCGCCCCCGCUUCUGAGUUUCUUGUACCUGCCGCACGUCACAAUAAAGAAUUCCGAGCUGAUGUGGCAUACAGCAUCCUCUAAAGAAAGCCGAGAAGGAUGAACGUAAGCCUUUGAUCCCUGUCGAAAUCUUAACCAUUGUGAUUUACCUCUUCCAACCUUUAGAAACUUGUCACAUCCCAGCAACAACAUGGACAGUAAUUACCAGACACUGAAAGAUGUUUCUAUGAAGAAUAAAGCUCCUCGGUUCACGCUCCUUUCUGGUGACUGCCGAAACAGAGCUGAAAUCGUUACUUCAUUAACAGCUCACCUUGAAAUUAGUUUCUCCCUGCAUGUUCGGGGCCGAGAUUUCCUGAUGGAUGAUGAACAGAUUGCGUGCAAAGGUCAUCAGUGCUCCCUGGAGGUCCUCAGCAAUGCUCCUGGGCCUUUAACAUCUUUCCGAUUGGUAUAAGUAUUUGGGAAGAGGGAGGCAUCCCUAAUGCAGCUUGUGAAAUACAGAAUUAUCAUGGAUGUGCCCCUUGCUCACCUCAGGUAAACCACAAUGUUGGUCAUGUGUAUAAAAUUCAACAGAAUGUCUCUUUGGAGCUCUGCGGAGAAAGAGUGGCUGCAACGGACCUCUAGAAACAGACAUAUUUUUUUUAGCCAUUUCAAACAAGCAAUCUGUAAUUUGCACAUAGGAACUAUUCUGUUUUAAGCAUGUACUUCAUGG